ensembl:lncRNA
ACGUUGGAAAUUGGAUGAACCUCUUGUGGUAUCUCCCAGUAUGGUCAGCAUGGCCAGGGCAUUUCCCCAGCGGUGCAGUGGAGGAGGACUUGGAUCAUCCCAUGAUGUGGCUCAUCUAGAGAAGGUAGGGAGAAAAUCAGCUUUGUUUCCCAGCAUGUUACCCCAGAGCUUGAAACGUGAGCCAGAAACCUGAGCCGGAUUCCCAACACUUUCCAAUAACCCUUGGAAGAAGUGGAGGACACACACACAGGAAAUAAACCACACUAGACAAACUAGAGGAAAAAAAACAAUGCUAUUUCUGUGUCAGUGUUUAUUGGUAUGUAUUUGCAUAUAUGGUUUUAAAACAGAAGAACAGUAGGAAAAACCUGAAAUUCACUGAAUGCUUUUCAAAAAGGAAAAAAAAUCAGCCUCUUUACAGUGGGCCAGCAUGAGAGGACACCAGUUUUAUUCUGAAGAAUGACUUCUGGCACAAGGAACGUGGGGCACAACUGGAUUCUGUUUUUGUUGGGGUUUUGUUCUCUCUUACUGAAAGUUGCUUUAGAGAUUUGUAGUUCUGAGGUUCAUGUUGUUCAUUAUUUUGUAAAGUGUUUAUACAUUUGGUCUGCUGCUUGAAGAAGCCACUGGGGAAGACUCUCUGUAAGUAGAAGCACCUGUAAAAUCUCCAGUGUACACAAAACCAAAAGAUCUGAUUUGCUUAGACCACAAACUUUUCUGAAGGAUGAGAAAGGUCUCAGUACUGAUUGGGAAGGUGAAAUCCCAGAAGGUGCUUACUAGAAAUGGAGUGGAAGUCUUGGGGAAUUAUUUGAUAAAUAACCACAGUAAAAUCAUAGCAGCACAUGAUAGUGCUUCUCUGUGUGGUAGGGAGGAAACUUUCUGGCUGUGAAAUGGGAAGAUGUCAAUUGCUCUGCUCUGUUCUCAGCUUCUGAGACAUCCUUCCUUCAACAAACCAUGCCACUGGGGCACCUGGGCAGCAGUGAGUGGCAGCCUUGCUGACAGGAAAAAGCAGCUGUCUGGAAGACUGGUUCCCAUGGAAAGCAAGGAAGCUCCCCGGCCGUGCCUGUUGUGCAUGUUGAGGAGAUGCAUCACCAAAGGAUUACAAUACAACUGCUGUGAGCUGGGAAGCAAAGCAGGCCAGGACUAGAAGCUGCCAUGGACAGAGAGGCACAUGAUGAAGUCUCCAGAGCUGCCUGCUGCUGGGACCCACAGCCACCAUCCUGCACCCUGCUCUGGGCACCUGGAGACCCCCAGCACUGCCCGAGCCCACCAGGAAACAGCCCAGAAACCUCAGGUGCAGUGGGGGGGACACUGUACUUUGUUGAGGUUCUGAUCCUCUGAUCCUUGGCUCAGCUGAGUGCAUUGUUUUAAAGGGAAAGAGGAAAAAUCCCCUUCACAGGGCAAUAUUUCUUUAGUACCUUGGUAAUGAAGGUGGAUUGGGAAAUGAACCAUUCCCCAUUACAGUGGGACCUAACUGCACAGCCCAUGCUUUCCAGUUAAAAUUUGAUUGCCUUGAAUCCUGAAGAUUAUGGAAAAUAAGAAAAAGGCCCAGUAAAAUUUAUGGCUUUUAAUCAUAAAGCGGUAGAAUCACAGUAAAUCUAUCAUAAGCAAGCAGAUAGGGACCCAGAAAAAAGAAAGGGAAGCCAUAGGCCUGGUGCUGGGGUCCUGAGGGGUGGAGCAGGGCUACAGCCCCAUUUCCUCCAGGAUGUUCAUCCCACACGUGCAGGGCCCUUCUGUGCCCGUCCUGCAGAGCUGGGUGCUGCAGGCCGCAGGGCAUAGCUUAGCAGACAGCUGGGCAGGGAUAGGGGGCACGUGGGUAGUGAGCAGUGGUGAGGUGGGAGCAGGGGAAGGGGCAGGAUGGGGGAGACCACCACUCCCAUUUUUAUGAAAGAGAGACCUGAAUAACUACAGACUGGGAAGAUCAUGGAGAAGAUCCUCCUGGAAGAGAUGUUAAGGCAAAUGAGGGAUGAGGAGGUGAUCUGAGACAGCUAGUGUGGCUUAACCAAGGGCAGAUUGUGCCUGAACCAUCUGUUGGUCUUCUGUGAUGGAAUGAUGGCACCGGUGUACAAAAACUGAACAGCAGUGUGCUCCUGCAGCCCAAAAGGCCAACAGUAUCCUGGGCUGCAUCAGCAGGGCAGUGGCAGCAGGCAGGGAGAGGACUGUCCUCCUCUAUUCUGCUCUUGUAAGGCCCCACCUGGAGUACUGCGUCCAGACCUGGGGCCCCCAGCACAAGCGGGAUGUGGAGCAUCCCCUCCAUGCACAGGGUGCAGGAUGGGACCCAUCAAGGGGAGGGCUGAGGAAUGUGUGUGCCAAGAGGGGAGCGAGGAGAGCAGUGACAGAGGAAUGGCAGCAGGGUGAGAGGUGCACAGAGGGUGAGCGAUAAGGAGGAAAAAGGAGAAGGUAAAGGAUUGUCUGAAGGAGAGAUAAGAGAGGAGGGCAGUUAGCGGGGACAGAGCAAGAGGAGGAGCGAUAAGGCCUGAUAGAAAUGGGAAGGCCAUGGAGAGCUGGGCGGCUCCUCACGAGCAGCCUCCCCUCCAUGCUCUAAGCACGUCUCUUCCCGUUUUUUAAGCUGUUUUAUAAAUCUUUGCAUUUAUCCUUAUUGAAAUAAAUAAAAAGUGAAAAGCA